rnacentral:rRNA from 1 species
AUUGAACGCUGGCGGCAGGCCUAACACAUGCAAGUCGAGCGAGCGGCGGACGGGUGAGUAAUGAAUGGGGAUAUGCCCGAUAGAGGGGGAUAACGACGGGAAACUGUAGCUAAUACCGCGUACCAUAGGAUGAGCCCAAGUGGGAUUAGGUAGUUGGUGUGGUAAAGGCUCACCAACCGACGAUCUCUAGCUGGUCGGCGAGGAGAACCAGCCACACUGUGACUUGGACACGGCCCAGACUCCUACGGGAGGCAGAAGUGGGGAAUAUUGCGCUAUGGGGGCAACCCUGACGCAGCCAUUCCGCGUGAAUGAAGAAGGCCUUCGGGUUGUAAAUGUCUUUCGGUAGCGAGGCGUUAACGACAGAAGUAGCAACGGCUAACUCCGGGCCAGCAGCCGCGGUAAUAC